CAGCAGCCGCGGUAAUACGAAGGGGGCUAGCGUUGUUCGGAUUUACUGGGCGUAAAGGGCGCGUAGGCGGACUGAUAAGUCAGGGGUGAAAUCCCAAGGCUCAACCUUGGAACUGCCUUUGAUACUGUUUGUCUUGAGUUCGAGAGAGGUAAGUGGAGCUGCGAGUGUAGAGGUGAAAUUCGUAGAUAUUCGCAAGAACACCAGUGGCGAAGGCGGCUUACUGGCUCGAAACUGACGCUGAGGCGCGAAAGCGUGGGGAGCAAACAGGAUUAGAUACCCCGGUAGUCCCUGUCUCUUAUAU
rnacentral:rRNA from 1 species